GACGAACGCUGGCGGCGUGCCUAAUACAUGCAAGUAGAACGCUGAAGGAGGAGCUUGCUCUUCUGGAUGAGUUGCGAACGGGUGAGUAACGCGUAGGUAACCUGCCUGGUAGCGGGGGAUAACUAUUGGAAACGAUAGCUAAUACCGCAUAAGAGUGGAUGUUGCAUGACAUUUGCUUAAAAGGUGCAAUUGCAUCACUACCAGAUGGACCUGCGUUGUAUUAGCUAGUUGGUGGGGUAACGGCUCACCAAGGCGACGAUACAUAGCCGACCUGAGAGGGUGAUCGGCCACACUGGGACUGAGACACGGCCCAGACUCCUACGGGAGGCAGCAGGAGGGAAUCUUCGGCAAUGGACGGAAGUCUGACCGAGCAACGCCGCGUGAGUGAAGAAGGUUUUCGGAUCGUAAAGCUCUGUUGUAAGAGAAGAACGAGUGUGAGAGUGGAAAGUUCACACUGUGACGGUAUCUUACCAGAAAGGGACGGCUAACUACGUG
rnacentral:rRNA from 1 species